rnacentral:miRNA from 1 species
AUGUGUAUAUAUAUAUGUGUGUAUGCAUGUAUGUAUGCAUAUUAUAUAUAUAUGUACACACACACACACACACACACACACACACACACACACACACAC